AUCUGGGCGGCGAAAUUCAGAAUGACUGGCUCUGUUCUUUGUGCACGUUGGUCGUUUGAUAUUUUCGUCGCCGUGUCAGACGUCGCGAUCUGUUUGUUGUCGGUCCCUGCUCGGAGGAGUUGCGAUCGAGUUUGUUGUGGACGCGUUUCGGCGUGUCAUACGGCAAAGACGCGAAUCUCUGGCCGAUAACGGACAGUAAGCAAUGGUAGCCGGCGCUGUGUCACGUGCACAGUGUUGGUACCGAUCAGCGACGAUUUCUUCGGGCCUCUUUCCGACCCGUCUUGAAACACGGACCAAGGAGUCUAACAUACGCGCGAGUCGCGGGGUAUCGAGCGUACUACGGUGCGUUCGGUCAUUAUGAAACCCGUAUGUUGAAGGCGUAAUGAAAGUAAAUGGGGAAGAUGGUGUUCCGAGUAUACUUACCGUGAAGUUUCGCGGCCGGACACCCGCAUUCCCAGGGCGUCUCAAUGUUCAUCGUGAAUGCGGAUUGUCGUUCUUCGGGGCGGUAGUCGGUUUGCGAUGGUCCGA
rnacentral:rRNA from 1 species